rnacentral:rRNA from 1 species
AGCUCCAAUAGCGUAUAUUAAAGUUGUUGCGGUUAAAAAGCUCGUAGUUGGAUUUCUGUUGAGGAUGGGCGGUCUCUACUCUCGUAGAUGCAUUUGUCACAGCCUCGGCAUCCUCUUGAAGAACGGUUCUGUGAUUCAUUUCGUGGUCCGGAAUUCAAGACUUUUACUUGAGGAAAUUAGAGUGUUCACGGCAAGCAAUCGCUUUGAAUACAUUAGCAUGGAAUAAUAAUAUAGGACC